CUGGCCUUUGUGUCUUGGUGUUUAAGAGGGAGAAACUGGAAAUUCAUGGAAACCUCUGGCUUGAGGGAGGGGGAGGGGUUUGUCCCUCUGCCUUCGGGACAGGACACGUUCUAUGGGGUCCACCUGGUGUGUGUGUCUCUAGAUCAGGAGUGGGGAACGUCUGGCCCGAGGGCCAUAUAAGGCCCAAGAAAUCAUUGGGUCUGGCCCUGCCAAGGCAUUAGGGGUGAGUGAAUGAAACACUGGCCAAACAGAACAGGCUAAUGUUUAAGUUGAUGAUUUUGUGAAGCCUGAGAAUGAUGUUCUAAAUCUCCAAAUGGCCUUUGGCAGGAAAAGACCCCCCAUCCCUGCUCUAGGUCCUUCUUUCUGCUCAUUUCUUCCCCCAGAGAGGACUGCCCAGUGGGCUGAAGGCCUGACUGACAGUGUGGGGGCUGGUAGCUCAGACACAGCUGGAAGCCCAAGAUCAGGAGCCCGGCACCUGGGCGAGGCCCUCCUCUGGCUGCAAACUUUUGUUGUAUCCUCCGGGGUGAGGGGCCUCCCUCAUCCAGGCACUAACCCCAAGGAUGAGGGCUCCACCCUCAUGACCUAACCACCUCCAAAUUCCUGGCCUCCUAAUACCACCCACUGGGCAUGGGGCUUUCAACAAAAGAAUUGUGGAGACUCCAGCAUUCAGACCAUGGUGUGUCUAAGGGACUGCGGUCCCGCCAUUUAGUGCAGACUCUGAGGCAGGUCUGUUUCCUGGGUCUCACUCCAAGCAUUCCAUGCCUGAGGGCCCUGGCCACCCAUCACUCUAGUUAAGGCUACAGAAUAAGUGUCACCCCACCCCUGAUGGCGGGACAAGGCGGAGAAGGGGUGGCUGUGGUGGGGGUGUGGCCGGAGCCAGGUGCUCUUCCCACACAGUCAGAUCCUCUGCUGAGCAGGACGACUCUGCAUCCGAACGUGCCCACUGGGCCAUGGAGUUCCUGGUGAGGGGCCGGGGACGGGGCCCAGGAAGGGGUUCCUGCUCUCACCUGGCGGUGGCCAUGGAGGGGAUGGCCUGAGUGACCUUGACCUUGUGUCAGAGUCACACAGCUGACAGAGUGGAAAACCCAGGGCCUGACAUGUGCUUCUCCCUCAGCCCCCACCCUGAAGAUCGUCACAAGCACCCUGGGCCCUCCAAGCACCCUGGGUCCUCCCUCCUCACUGCCAGUGACCACUGGGUCCAGCAUGACCAGUCAGGAGAUGCCUGAUGCCAGCCAACACCCUCGGUCCCUGCUCAGCAGUGUCCACUUCCUGCUCCUCAUAUUCCUGAAGGUGCCCCUGUUCCUGAGCAUGCUCAGUGCUGUCCUCUGGGUGAACAGGCCUCAGCGGGCCACUUGUGAGGAAACACAGUUUGGCUAAGACAACCUGCCACCGUCCCCGCCCAUCCAUGUCCUGUCCAGAGACACAGCCACUCGGGCUACAGAAGACAGAGCCUCCACCCUGAGCCUUACAUCCCUUUUCAGCCUAUCGCCAGAGACUAAAAAAAAUAAUUUAAUGAGUAUAGCACUUACACAAACGUGUGUAUAUGAACAGUUGAAGGACUGAAAAUAAACAUCUGUGUACCCGC